GGCCACGAAGCUCAAAUGGUAUGAGCACUCCUUUCAUAUGGGAGAGGCUGUAGGUUCGAAUCCUACCGUGGCUA
rnacentral:tRNA from 1 species